AUGUCGAGGCUGCGGGCGCUCUGGCAAGCUUCCGUGAACGCUACCAAGCGAGCUGUUGUAUGGAAUUCAGAAGAUUUAUUUCCACCAAGUGAAAGAUUCAUCUUCAAUUUCAAUUCAAAAGAUGAGGUGAAGAAGUGGCACUUGUACUCGGAUUCAGAGUAUGGAGGUUUAUCAUCUGCAUCACUGGAGAUAACUGAUAGUGUUUCUGGUGGAGAUACUUCAUCAACUGGUGUCUUUUCUGGCAACCUCUCCUUGGAUAUGUCCGAGGGAUCACCAUGGAGGAUCAGGCGGAGUGGUUUCUGUGGAAUGCGAUCAAAGAAGUUUGAUGGUUACAUCGAUCUUGAUUCAUAUGAUACAAUAGCAAUGAAGCUCAGAGGGGAUGGGAGAACCUACAUAUCUACUAUAUACACAGAGAACUGGGUAAAUUCACCUGGACAAGAGGAAGAUAACUCGUGGCAGGCUUUCGUGUGCGUGCCUCAUGGUAGCUGGCGAAUCCUGAAGAUCCCUCUCGAUAGCUACUUACCUACAUGGAAAGGAAAUGUGAUCGAAGCGAACAUGGAAAUGAAUCCUUCUCGCGUCGUGGGAAUGUCUCUCUCGUUAAAUGCAGAAGGCGGCGUUCCUGGUGCUAAGACUGGGCCAGGCGAUUUUAGAUUAGACGUUGAUUGGAUCAAGGCGAUGAGGUCACUGUGA
rnacentral:rRNA from 1 species